rnacentral:rRNA from 1 species
ACUGCUCAGUAACACGUAGUCAACAUGCCCAGGGGACGUGGAUAACCUCGGGAAACUGAGGAUAAACCGCGAUAGGUCAUCACUUCUGGAAUGGGUAAUGACUUAAAUCUAUAUGGCCCCUGGAUUGGACUGCGGCCGAUCAGGCUGUUGGUGAGGUAAUGGCCCACCAAACCUGUAACCGGUACGGGCUCUGAGAGGAGGAGCCCGGAGAUGGGCACUGAGACAAGGGCCCAGGCCCUAUGGGGCGCAGCAGGCGCGAAACCUCUGCAAUAGGCGAAAGCUUGACAGGGUUACUCUGAGUGAUUUCCGUUAAGGAGAUCUUUUGGCACCUCUAAAAAUGGUGCAGAAUAAGGGGUGGGCAAGUCUGGUGUCAGCCGCCGCGGUAAUACCAGCACCCCGAGUGGUCGGGACGUUUAUUGGGCCUAAAGCAUCCGUAGCCGGUUCUACAAGUCUUCCGUUAAAUCCACCUGCUUAACAGAUGGGCUGCGGAAGAUACUAUAGAGCUAGGAGGCGGGAGAGGCAAGCGGUACUCGAUGGGUAGGGGUAAAAUCCGUUGAUCCAUUGAAGACCACCAGUGGCGAAGGCGGCUUGCCAGAACGCGCUCGACGGUGAGGGAUGAAAGCUGGUGGAGCAAACCGGAUUAGAUACCCGGGUAGUCCCAGCCGUAAACGAUGCAGACUCGGUGAUGAGUUGGCUUAUUGCUAACUCAGUGCCGCAGGGAAGCCGUUAAGUUUGCCGCCUGGGGAGUACGGUCGCAAGACUGAAACUUAAAGGAAUUGGCGGGGGAGCA